rnacentral:rRNA from 1 species
AGCGAACGCUGGCGGCAGGCCUAACACAUGCAAGUCGAACGAACCUUUCGGGGUUAGUGGCGGACAGGUGAGUAACACGUGGGAACGUGCCUUUAGGUUCGGAAUAACUCAGGGAAACUUGUGCUAAUACCGAAUGUGCCCUUCGGGGGAAAGAUUUAUCGCCUUUAGAGCGGCCCGCGUCUGAUUAGCUAGUUGGUUGAGGUAAUGGCUCACCAAGGCGACGAUCAGUAGCUGGUCUGAGAGGAUGAUCAGCCACAUUGGGACUGAGACACGGCCCAAACUCCUACGGGAGGCAGCAGUGGGGAAUCUUGCGCAAUGGGCGAAAGCCUGACGCAGCCAUGCCGCGUGAAUGAUGAAGGUCUUAGGAUUGUAAAAUUCUUUCACCGGGGACGAUAAUGACGGUACCCGGAGAAGAAGCCCCGGCUAACUUCGUG